UACAGAGGGUGCGAGCGUUAAUCGGAAUUACUGGGCGUAAAGCGUGCGUAGACGGUAGCGUAAGUCAGAUGUGAAAGCCCCGGGCUCAACCUGGGAACCGCAUUUGAGACUGCUCUGCUCGGGUGCGGAAGAGGGAAGCGGAAUUUCCGGUGUAGCGGUGAAAUGCGUAGAUAUCGGAAGGAACACCAGUGGCGAAAGCGGCUUCCUGGUCCGACACCGACGUUCAGGCACGAAAGCGUGGGGAGCAAACAGG
rnacentral:rRNA from 1 species